GAGACGCAGUUUGACCGUGAAGGGAGAGCAGCAAGCGCCAUGUGUCUGUGAGAGUCUGCCAGCUAGCCUCAGGGCUUGGAGGAAAGCCCAGUGCAGAGCCUCUUUAGCGGCUCUCAGAAGAAACGAGCACUGCAGACUUCUUGCCUCCAGUGUCCAAAGGCAACAAUCUCUGUAUUGAAGGUGCCCACGUGGAAGCUCUUUAUAUGGGGCCCUAGCAAAGCCACGGCUGUGUGACAGAGAACCAGCACAAACUCAGCUGCGACAGCAGGGGUGGUGGCCCGUGGUUUCCUUUCCAGGGAGUAGCUCCUGAAUUUGACAGCGUUCUUCUCGUACUGUGCAGAAUGCCCUAAUCUACUCGAGAUGCUCAUGUAUAUAAGACGAGGUGCAGUCAAGGUCGCCAUUUGCUUAAACGAAUGCAUCCCAGUAAUAAGUAGGAAGCCGGCAAGCUCAGGGACACAGCUAAAUACAAGGGGUCAAGCCCCGCAUGGUAAAGUAAAUUAACU
rnacentral:lncRNA from 1 species